rnacentral:rRNA from 1 species
CGAUUGUCGUACCGCAGAAGAAGCACCGGCUAACUUCGUGCAGCAGCAGCGGUAAUACGGAGGGUGCAAGCGUUAUCGGAAUACUGGGCGUAAAGCGCACGCAGGCGGUCUGUCAAGUCGGAUGUGAAAUCCCCGGGCUCAACCUGGAACUGCAUCCGAAACUGGCAGGCUUGAGUCUCGUAGAGGGGGGUAGAAUUCCAGGUGUAGCGGUGAAAUGCGUAGAGAUCUGGAGGAAUACCGGUGGCGAAGGCGGCCCCCUGGACGAAGACUGACGCUCAGGUGCGAAAGCGUGGGGAGCAAACAGGAUUAGAUACCCUGGUAGUCCACGCCGUAAACGAUGUCGACUUGGAGGUUGUGCCCUUGAGGCGUGGCUUCCGGAGCUAACGCGUUAAGUCGACCGCCUGGGGAGUACGGCCGCAAGGUUAAAACUCAAAUGAAUUGACGGGGGCCCGCACAAGCGGUGGAGCAUGUGGUUUAAUUCGAUGCAACGCGAAGAACCUUACCUGGUCUUGACAUCCACAGAACUUGGCAGAGAUGCCUUGGUGCCUUCGGGAACUGUGAGACAGGUGCUGCAUGGCUGUCGUCAGCUCGUGUUGUGAAAUGUUGGGUUAAGUCCCGCAACGAGCGCAACCCUUAUCCUUUGUUGCCAGCGGUUCGGCCGGGAACUCAAAGGAGACUGCCAGUGAUAAACUGGAGGAAGGUGGGGAUGACGUCAAGUCAUCAUGGCCCUUACGACCAGGGCUACACACGUGCUACAAUGGCGCAUACAAAGAGAAGCGAUCUCGCGAGAGCCAGCGGACCUCAUAAAGUGCGUCGUAGUCCGGAUUGGAGUCUGCAACUCGACUCCAUGAAGUCGGAAUCGCUAGUAAUCGUGAAUCAGAAUGUCACGGUGAAUACGUUCCCGGGCCUUGUACACACCGCCCGUCACACCAUGGGAGUGGGUUGCAAAAGAAGUAGGUAGCUUAACCUUCGGGAGGGCGCUUACCACUUG